UGGCUGAGUGGUAAAGCCCUUGGUUUUCGAAUCAGGGAUCCCGGGUUCGAAUCCUGG
rnacentral:tRNA from 1 species